rnacentral:tRNA from 1 species
UAAUUGCUCAAGCGCCGGUCUUGUAAACCGGAGAUUGGAGGUUGAACUCCCCCCUUAGGCC